AUGGCAAAAUCAGACGGGCCCCUUUUCAAAUCCACGUCUCCAAUGUCCCCCCCGCCACCCCUCCAACAGUCUGCAGUCACUGGGCGGCUGGUGAGGCAGGCGGAGAGAAAGAGAGAGAGAGGAGAGCAAGGGUUACAUCAAGGCUGCUCCCUGGACCGUGCAAACAAGUCUAGACCAGUGACCUGUUCAAUGGCUUCUUUUGAGGAGCGGGGCAAGUUCGGUCAGAGCGAGGAGAAAGGCAGGCACAGCCUCUUUUCACUGCCGAAGCAGCUCACAGCCCGCGAUCGACAGGAGGAGCCCUGGCAAUUGUCUCUUUCUCUGCAGUCACAGGUAAGAUGCAUCAGCAACACAAGAAUAAAACCAGGACUCUCCAACUCCGGUCCUGGACUAUUUGAGCUCUUCUGUCAGCCGUCGAGCAGAGGGACAGUGUUUUGGGCGUGUGACUGUCUUGUUUUGCUUCCGCAGUUGCAGAGGAUGGGUGAGUCAGUAACAGUGUCAGGCUGCCAUAACAGAAGGCCUGCGUGAAAUAAUUACUAGGGAGUCAUUUGGCCGCGCGGCUCGGCUCGGCUCGGCCCCAGGUACCCACUGUGCACAGAGCGAGAGUAGACGACCUUUUACUCAGCUCCGUCCCACUGCAGUCACUUAAAACAGUGAUGGAUGGUUCCCUCAACGCCCUGCUCCCGAGCAGCACUCCUUCUUUGCUCCUCACCCUCCCUCUCAUCUCUUCCCACCGCGUUUCCCCCUUUUUCCCCGUCCUCUGCACCACUUCAGCGCCACCCUCGCCUUAUUUGUCCCAUCUCCUCCGCUUGUGUUCCUCCCGUCCUUUUACAGCCUCACAUUCCCUCUGUUCUUUCCGAGUGAUGCGGAUGAAGAGGAAGAAGAAAGGUAGGGGGCUCGAAGGAAAUGGAGGGGGGUGGGGGGUUGAAGUAAGGUGGAGGAGGCAUUUCCUGCCUUCGUAGGGCUGAGUCGAGUCAAGCUACAACCACCACCCUGCGCUGCACGUUCUCCUUUCAGCUGCUCAUUAGUAUGCGGCGGCUGUUGCUCAGGUGACACGGCCUCUGGAUUCGGUCCCGACUGCAGGAGCAUCAGCAGCGGGUAGCAGGUAAGGACAAAAAGAACGGGAGGGAGAGAUGUGAAGGAGGGGAGGGGGAAGGGCAAGCGCAGCAGAGGAGGCACUUCUGUGAGGCCUUGCACACACUUUUACACUUUACUUUGCUGCAUACACACAUAUUUUCAAGUCCAGCUUCUUUCCCAAGUGUGUUUCAUCGUAUCUAAAUAAAAUAAACUGGCUCAGAUGUGCUACUUGAGCU
rnacentral:lncRNA from 1 species